rnacentral:lncRNA from 1 species
CUCCGAACACAUCCAAACAUCAGAAGGAACAAACUCCGGAUACGCAGCCUUUCAGAACUGUAACAGUCACCAGGAGGGUCCGCGGCUUCCUUCUUUAAGUCAGUGAAACCAAGAACCCACCAAUUCUGGACGCAAAAGAUGGUGCCAGAAGUGGGAUCUCAAGUAGAGCUUCCCAUGACCCCCAGAAGUGCUGAAUGAACACACAAGGUACCGGGUGCAGGACCACUUGUGUCCAAGGAUUUCCCAGAGUGGCUCAGGAUCUUGGUAUAUUUUCACCAGGUAAAGAAAGCAUUUAUGAUUCACUAAGGACAGUUAACCCCUUCACAAUCUAGAAUCUGAAGAUUGGAUCUUCUGAAAACAUCAGAGAAAGACUCUCCUUGCCAUCCACACUGCAACAAAACUUUGGAACCUUGAACCUUGGAUACAUAAUCUCACAACUGAGAAGGAUCCCUCCACAUUCUUGGAACUGUACACCCAUUGGAACCCUUAAAGUAAAACUAACCAGGAAAGUUUCUCCCCAGAAGAUGGCAUCCUUGAUGUGAACAGCUUUUCCCAAGAUCACAGAUCAACACUUCUACUAUCAUGAGACUCUUACCUUUGAAUAUUUUCCUUGUUUAUGCCUCUGUGAACAAUAGAAAUGAAAAGGGGUCUAUUAUGUGCACUUACAGGGUAUACUUUUAUUUGUUAAGAACUUUGCAGCCAGUAUUAUACAUGAAUAACCUUAUACUUAGAUAGAUUAAAAAAUGAAGUCCCAAGGUAGGGGAGAAACUUUAAUGGUACAUACAUUGCCUCAUAAUCCGUCAAAACUCCUUUUAACCUACAUCAUGGGUUAAAGAGAACAUUGCCAGGAGGCCUUCACUCUUCCACAAGGACAUCAUUUGUUAGGUCUUUUUUCCAUGAUUUAGAAUAAAUAGGCAAUAAUUAGAAAUGUAUCCCUCAUAAUAGGCUUUAUAGCAGAUUCUACUGUGAAGGUUAAGGUUACACAACAGACUUUAAAUUCUCAUGUGAAAGUUACGUUAAAUAAUAGAAUUGGCUAAACAGAACAGUAACUUUGCAGCUGCCAACACUUGUGGCCUAUAGAGAAAUACAUCAAAUGUAGAUUAUAAAAAUUGAGUUGUAGGGGAUUAACGAAAAGACUACUCAGUCAAGCAAGUAGAUCUUCAUCUAGUUCAUUCUUUAAUCUACUUAAUUUUAAGUGGUUUGGUUUAUGGGAACCCUGGGUAAGGAGCAUACUCCAAACUCUUGGUAUUAUCCUCCCAAUAGUGAUAAUAAUAAUCUCCUUGGUGCACUGUAUUCUCUCAAAGGUUUUAAAUGUUUGCAUGCAGCCAUCUCUAGAAUGUCAAAUGGUCUCUCCAACAGGAAUGACAAAAGCUGAAAGAAAUGAGUGACCAUAAGGAUACUGUAACCUACAAAUGACGUGCUGAGACCAGAAACCCAAAAUGAUGGUAACAGAGAGUGACACUAAGGCCCUAAGUUUUGGUCACACUCUCACCUAAGUGAGAACCUGACCUGAAAGGGGGAAUUUUUUAAACAAAAUUAUGGAAGGCCAUUGUUUUGAACUAAGCUCUUGCACUAGGCCCCAACAGGCCAAACCAAACUAAAAUGGAGUUACUCAUGCUAAAUGUGACAUAAACAAACUAAGACUUGAAGAAAACACAUAGAUCAUAAAACAGACCAGGUUUUGUUUUUCUCCUGUAAACAGGAUGUUCCCGCAUAAGGAGGUACCCUCUACUCAAUCCCUGUGCCUACCUUUGUAAAACUCGCCGUUCUACUGUUUCCCAGUGGGUUUCAAGACCAAAUAAGUACAUUUACAAUGGUGAUAGUGACAUCAAUAGCUAAAGUUUUGGUCAUUCUCUCGAAAUUGAGAGAAUGACCAAAAGUGGGGAAUUGUUAAAGCAAACUAAAUACGGCCUGAGAAGGACUGCAUACUUCUAUAUUUGAGUCCUUGUGGAUGAACUGCAACCUAGCUUAAUAGGUACAAGAUUGAAAACCUAACUUAGGAGUGUGCACUUCUAACAAUAGCUAAGUCUUGCCCAAUGCCAAUGGCCAUAUGUCAACCAUUCAUACACUGCUGAGUGUUCAAACUGUGUUCAAAUAGGGCAAAUGUCAAGCUGUGACCUAUCCAGCUGUUCUGUAACUCACUUCCAAUUUCUGUACAUCA